rnacentral:misc_RNA from 1 species
GAUGAAGAACGUAGCGAAAUGCGAUAAGUAAUGUGAAUUGCAGAAUUCAGUGAAUCACCGAAUCUUUGAACGCACAUUGCGCCCGCCAGUAUUCUGGCGGGCAUGCCUGUUCGAGCGUCAUUUCAACCAUCAAGCCCCCGGCUUGUGUUGGGGACCUGCGGCUGCCGCAGGCCCUGAAAACCAGUGGCGGGCUCGCUGUCACACCGAGCGUAGUAGAUUUUCAUCUCGCUCAGGGCGUGCUGCGGGUUCCGGCCGUAAAAAGCCUUAUUUACCCAAGGUUGACCUCGGAUCAGGUAGGAAGACCCGCUGAACUUAAGCAUAUCAAUAAGCGGAGGA